rnacentral:rRNA from 1 species
ACUCCUACGGGAGGCAGCAGUGGGGAAUAUUGCACAAUGGGGAAACCCUGAUGCAGCCAUGCCGCGUGUGUGAAGAAGGCCUUCGGUUGUAAAGCACUUUCAGUAGGGAGGAAGGUAGUGUAGUUAACACCUGCAUUAUUUGACGUUACCUACAGAAGAAGCACCGGCUAACUCCGUGCCAGCAGCCGCGGUAAUACGGAGGGGUGCGAGCGUUAAUCGGAAUUACUGGGCGUAAAGCGCAUGCAGGCGGCCUGUUAAGUCAGAUGUGAAAGCCCGGGGGCUUAACCUCGGAAUUGCAUUUGAAACUGGCAGGCUAGAGUCUUGUAGAGGGGGUAGGAAUUUCAGGUGUAGCGGUGAAAUGCGUAGAGAUCUGAAGGAAUACCAAGUGGCGAAGGCGGCCCCCUGGACCAAAG